CGACGUGGGCAGGGCCCUCUGCACCCCCAUGCUAGGUGAGACCCACCCCUUCAUUUUGCCUUCGUGCCCGCGUUAAGAAGCACCUCUCGGAUUGGAUUUUGGGGCACCAUGGUACCAUGUCGUGCUACUCCGGCGAGGUCACCGCCGCGGCCGUGGGCAUCGUCGGGGGUAGGAGACACUGCCCUGGCCGUUGAUCUAUUGAGGGUUUCCAUGAUGAAGCGCUGAGCAUACCCAUUGGUGACUAAAUCUGAGCCAUUAAUGUUGAUCGAGUGAUCCAGAUUGGAUCGCGUUUCAUUAAAUCCGCACCAUAGAUUCUAGAAUCAACGGUGGAGAGAGCCUACCGGUUCGGGAAGACUAGAAUCUAAUCUGAUUCGUUGGCAUACGAUCGGACGGCCUAGGCCGGUCCGUGUAAGACACUACACCGCUUUCUCAAAAGAAACCCUAGGGUUCUUUCAAAUGAACCUACAAUCCGGUGAUAAUGAUAAAACCUUUAAUAUAGUCCUGUUUUUAGCCAAAGUAACCCCGGACUUUUUAUAUAUGUAUCCGUCGUCCAACGGUGAUUAAGUAUUUGUAAAUUCGAUAUAGAAACUUAUUUCUAGUGUAAAAAUUAAUAUAAAAAUGUAUAAAAUCUUAGAAAAUUCAUAAAUUAUUAAUUUAAAAUCUGAUUUAGUCCAUUCCCGUUGCGUUAUUCUCAUACUAAUAUUUCCUACAUAUUAAACCACAUGAAUUAUCAGGCAAUAUGUUUUAAAAAAUAGAUGACUAAUUUGUUUAAUCUAUGUCUAUUGAAUUAACUUAUCUAGUUUGAGUUAAUGUAGUGUUCUAAAUUGGUACAUCUAUAACUUGACAAAAAUAUAAUUAGGUUAUAACUUAGAUUAAAGUUAAAUUAUCUAUGUGUAGGUGUUUGGACCGUGGGUCCUUAACCAACCAGUAAAUGUGUCGCGUGGCCGACUCUAGAUGGUGUGCGAGAAGACACAAGCAAUUAUCCUGGUUCGGGCUACACAAGGCCCUACUUCCAGCUGAGAGGAGGCUUAUAUUACUCGCACUGUGGUGCCUGUAGUAGGGGUUUACAAGCAUAGCGGGAGAGAGGAAGUCCCCAAGUCUCAUGAGAUGAUUGAGGCAAGUGCCAAUAUCUAAGACACAAUGGGAGAGCGAGCGUUCGCCUACG
rnacentral:lncRNA from 1 species